UAGGGAAUCUUCCACAAUGGACGAAAGUCUGAUGGAGCAACGCCGCGUGAGUGAAGAAGGUUUUCGGAUCGUAAAGCUACUGUUGUUGGUGAAGAAGGAUAGAGGCAGUAACUGGUCUUUAUUUGACGGUAAUCAACCAGAAAGUCACGGCUAACUACGUGCCAG
rnacentral:rRNA from 1 species